ACGGGGCCGCACAAGCAGUGGACCAUGUGGUUCAAUUCGACGCUACGCGAAGAACCUCACCAGGGUUUGACAUAUAGGUAGUAGGAACCUGAAAUGGAGACGACUCGUUAAGCCGAGUGCCUAUACAGGUGUUGCAUGGCUGUCGUCAGCUCGUGCCGUGAGGUGUUGGGUUAAGUCCCGCAACGAGCGCAACCAUCAUCCUUAGUUGCUACCGAGGGAUCCGAAAGGGUCCUGGCGAGCACUCUAAGGAGACUGCCCGUGAUAAACGGGAGGAAGGUGGAGAUGACGUCAAGUCCGUAUGGCCCUUAUACCCUGGGCUACACACGUGUUACAAUGGGAUGUACAGAGCGUUGCCAAACCGCGAGGUGGAGCUAAUCGCAAAAAGCAUCCCCCAGUUCAGAUUGGAGUCUGCAACCCGACUCCAUGAAGUUGGAAUUGCUAGUAACGGCGGAUCAGCUACGCCGCCGUGAAUACGUUCCCGGGCCUU
rnacentral:rRNA from 1 species